rnacentral:tRNA from 1 species
AAGAGUGUAGGUUAAGAAAACCAUUACAGUUCAAUUGUAAAAAUAUAUUUUAUUUCUCUUU